rnacentral:miRNA from 1 species
AAUGGCACAUGCUUGUUGUUAG